UGGGAACCUUCCCUAUGGUUCGGAAUAGCUCAGGGAAACUUGGGGUAAUACCGGAUAAGCCCUUCGGGGAAAGAUUUAUCGCCAUUGGAUGGGCCCGCGUCGGAUUAGCUAGUUGGUGAGGUAACGGCUCACCAAGGCAACGAUCCGUAGCUGGUCUGAGAGGAUGAUCAGCCACACUGGGACUGAGACACGGCCCAGACUCCUACGGGAGCAG
rnacentral:rRNA from 1 species